AUUUAGAAAGGAUGCUUCUGACCACAGUGAUGUUAAAGCCCCCACUGCCGAACCAAAUAUAGAUAUCAACUCAGCUUCAGAACCCAUACUGAAGGAUGCAGGUGCCCCAAUCCAGACCCGAAUGAAUGGGUCGACCAAGAAAACAUCUGUGAAUGGUCUUCUGGAUCAAUCAAACACCAACUCUGGGUUAGAAUCUUCAGGAAAUGACAAUCCCAGCUUCAG